rnacentral:rRNA from 1 species
GACGAACGCUGGCGGCGUGCCUAAUACAUGCAAGUCGAACGCUGAAGGAGGAGCUUGCUUCUCUGGAUGAGUUGCGAACGGGUGAGUAACGCGUAGGUAACCUGCCUGGUAGCGGGGGAUAACUAUUGGAAACGAUAGCUAAUACCGCAUAAUAGUAGAUGUCGCAUGACAUUUGCUUAAAAGGUGCAAUUGCAUCACUACCAGAUGGACCUGCGUUGUAUUAGCUAGUUGGUGAGGUAACGGCUCACCAAGGCAACGAUACAUAGCCGACCUGAGAGGGUGAUCGGCCACACUGGGACUGAGACACGGCCCAGACUCCUACGGGAGGCAGCAGUAGGGAAUCUUCGGCAAGGGACGGAAGUCUGACCGAGCAACGCCGCGUGAGUGAAGAAGGUUUUCGGAUCGUAAAGCUCUGUUGUAAGAGAAGAACGAGUGUGAGAGUGGAAAGUUCACACUGUGACGGUAUCUUACCAGAAAGGGACGGCUAACUACGUG